CACGUAGGGCGCAAGCGUUGUCCGGAAUUAUUGGGCGUAAAGAGCUCGUAGGCGGUCUGUUGCGUCCGCUGUGAAAACCCGGGGCUCAACUCCGGGCUUGCAUUCGAUACGGGCAGGCUAGAGUUCGGUAGGGGAGUCUGGAAUUCCUGGUGUAGCGGUGAAAUGCGCAGAUAUCAGGAGGAACACCGGUGGCGAAGGCGGGACUCUGGGCCGAUACUGACGCUGAGGAGCGAAAGCGUGGGGAGCGAACAGG
rnacentral:rRNA from 1 species